rnacentral:rRNA from 1 species
CAGCCCCUCGAGUGGUGGGGAUGAUUAUUUGGCCUAAAGCGUCCGUAGCCGGCCGUGUAAGUCUCCCGUUAAAUCCAGCGUCUCAAGCGUUGGACCGCGGGAGAUACUACACGGCUAGAGAGUGGGAGAGGUCAGCGGUAUUCUGGGGGUAGGGGCGAAAUCCUUUGAUCCCCGGAGGACCACCAGUGGCGAAGGCUGCUGACUAGAACACGUCUGACGGUCAGGGACGAAAGCUGGGGUAGCGAACCGGAUUAGAUACCCGAGUAGUCC